rnacentral:lncRNA from 1 species
CAGAUAAUUACAAACACGGAGGACGAACUGGUGCGUUUAAAUGCACGAGGAACUUUUUAAAUCUCACCUGUGAGGAAAUAUUUCACUCUGACUGAGGAAAAAACACAUUAAAUCAACUUCUAGUCAACAUGAGAGGAGACACGGCGACGGACGAACAUGCUAAGAGCACAGCAACAACAGAAGCUGCGUGUGGGGACAGACGAUCAAGUGUUGUGUCACUACAAAACAUGCUGAAGAAAGUGUCACAGAGCCCUCUCCGUGUUCAGUACCAGAGUCUUGUUGCAUCCGGCUCCGAAUCCAGCGGAUCAUCUGCGAACGAGUCUCAGAACAACCAGGAUGGCGACUAUCCGAUCAAUCGCUCAGCUGCUGCUGCAGGAGUGAUGGAAAACCACCAACUCAGACAGGUGGGAGGGAAAAAACACACACAAAAUCAUCCGGUGCGGGUUAACAUGUAAGCGCCCGCGCUCAUGUUUUACAUAUCUUAUUCUCAGAA